rnacentral:rRNA from 1 species
UACGUAGGGGGCAAGCGUUGUCCGGAAUUAUUGGGCGUAAAGGGCUCGUAGGCGGUUUGUCGCGUCGGGGAGUGAAAACCUACAGCUUAACUGUGGGCUUGCUUUCGAUACGGGCAGACUAGAGGUAUGCAGGGGAGAACGGAAUUCCUGGUGUAGCGGUGAAAUGCGUAGAUAUCGAGAGGAACACCUGCGGCGAAGGCGGGUUGCUGGGCUGACACUGACGCUGAGGCGCGAAAGCCAGGGGAGCGAACGGG